rnacentral:rRNA from 1 species
CAGCAGCCGCGGUAAUUCGAAGGUGGCAAGCGUUACUCGGAAUUACUAGGCGUAAAGGGCAGGUAGGUGGUUUGGUCAGUCUGUUGUGAAAGCUCCCGGCUUAACCGGGAGAGGCCAACGGAUACUGCCAGACUUGAGUAUAGGAGAGGGUACUGGAAUUCCCGGUGUAGCGGUGAAAUGCGCAGAGAUCGGGAGGAACACCAAUGGCGAAAGCAGGUACCUGGACUAUUACUGACACUCAACUGCGAAAGCUAGGGGAGCAAACAGGAUUAGAUACCCUGGUAGUCCUAGCCGUAAACGAUGCACAUUAGACGUGAGGGGUAUCGACCCCCUUCGUGUCGACGCAAACGCAUUAAAUGUGCCGCCUGGGGAGUACGGCCGCAAGGUUGAAACUUAAAGGAAUCGACGG